UAAUACGUAGGUCCCGAGCGUUGUCCGGAUUUAUUGGGCGUAAAGCGAGCGCAGGCGGUUCUUUAAGUCUGAAGUUAAAGGCAGUGGCUUAACCAUUGUACGCUUUGGAAACUGGAGGACUUGAGUGCAGAAGGGGAGAGUGGAAUUCCAUGUGUAGCGGUGAAAUGCGUAGAUAUAUGGAGGAACACCGGUGGCGAAAGCGGCUCUCUGGUCUGUAACUGACGCUGAGGCUCGAAAGCGUGGGGAGCAAACAGGAUUAGAUACCCUGGUAGUCCACGCCGUAAACGAUGAGUGCUAGGUGUUAGGCCCUUUCCGGGGCUUAGUGCCGCAGCUAACGCAUUAAGCACUCCGCCUGGGGAGUACGACCGCAAGGUUGAAACUCAAAUGAAUUGACGG
rnacentral:rRNA from 1 species